UGAAAAAACAGGGACCAAACAUAGCGAGAGUACAGUAUGGUAGGGUGAAUUUUCGGUGUAGCGGUGAAAUGCAUAGAGAUGUAAAGAACUUCAUCAGCAAAAGUACUUAGCUAGGCUGAAACUGAAACUGGGAGACGAAAGUUAGGGGAGCAAAUGGGAUUAGAUACCUCAAUAGUUCUAAUCGUAAACGAUGAAUACAAGGCGUGGUGUUGUACAAGUCGUUUCCGAUUCACUUUAAUGUAAACUA
rnacentral:rRNA from 1 species